rnacentral:rRNA from 1 species
AACGCUGGCGGCGUGCUUAACACAUGCAAGUCGAACGGAAAGGCCCUGCUUUUGUGGGGUGCUCGAGUGGCGAACGGGUGAGUAACACGUGAGUAACCUGCCCUUGACUUUGGGAUAACUUCAGGAAACUGGGGCUAAUACCGGAUAGGGGCUCCUGCUGCAUGGUGGGGGUUGGAAAGUUUCGGCGGUUGGGGAUGGGCUCGCGGCUUAUCAGCUUGUUGGUGGGGUAGUGGCUUACCAAGGCUUUGACGGGUAGCCGGCCUGAGAGGGUGACCGGCCACAUUGGGACUGAGAUACGGCCCAGACUCCUACGGGAGGCAGCAGUGGGGAAUAUUGCACAAUGGGCGGAAGCCUGAUGCAGCAACGCCGCGUGCGGGAUGACGGCCUUCGGGUUGUAAACCGCUUUCGCCUGUGACGAAGCGUGAGUGACGGUAAUGGGUAAAGAAGCACCGGCUAACUACGUGCCAGCAGCCGCGGUGAUACGUAGGGUGCGAGCGUUGUCCGGAUUUAUUGGGCGUAAAGGGCUCGUAGGUGGUUGAUCGCGUCGGAAGUGUAAUCUUGGGGCUUAACCCUGAGCGUGCUUUCGAUACGGGUUGACUUGAGGAAGGUAGGGGAGAAUGGAAUUCCUGGUGGAGCGGUGGAAUGCGCAGAUAUCAGGAGGAACACCAGUGGCGAAGGCGGUUCUCUGGGCCUUUCCUGACGCUGAGGAGCGAAAGCGUGGGGAGCGAACAGGCUUAGAUACCCUGGUAGUCCACGCUGUAAACGGUGGGUACUAGGUGUGGGGUCCAUUCCACGGGUUCCGUGCCGUAGCUAACGCUUUAAGUACCCCGCCUGGGGAGUACGGCCGCAAGGCUAAAACUCAAAGGAAUUGACGGGGCCCCGCACAAGCGGCGGAGCAUGCGGAUUAAUUCGAUGCAACGCGUAGAACCUUACCUGGGUUUGACAUGGAUCGGGAGUGCUCAGAGAUGGGUGUGCCUCUUUUGGGGUCGGUUCACAGGUGGUGCAUGGCUGUCGUCAGCUCGUGUCGUGAGAUGUUGGGUUAAGUCCCGCAACGAGCGCAACCCUUGUUCACUGUUGCCAGCACGUUAUGGUGGGGACUCAGUGGAGACCGCCGGGGUCAACUCGGAGGAAGGUGGGGAUGACGUCAAGUCAUCAUGCCCCUUAUGUCCAGGGCUUCACGCAUGCUACAAUGGCUGGUACAGAGAGUGGCGAGCCUGUGAGGGUGAGCGAAUCUCGGAAAGCCGGUCUCAGUUCGGAUUGGGGUCUGCAACUCGACCUCAUGAAGUCGGAGUCGCUAGUAAUCGCAGAUCAGCAACGCUGCGGUGAAUACGUUCCCGGGGCUUGUACACACCGCCCGUCAAGUCAUGAAAGUUGGUAACACCCGAAGCCGGUGGCCUAACCGUUGUGGGGGAGCCGUCGAAGGUGGGACUGGUGAUUAGG